ACGCUCGACACCUACGGGAGCAGCAGUCGGGAAUAUUGCGCAAUGGAGGAAACUCUGACGCAGUGACGCCGCGUGCAGGAAGAAGGUUUUCGGAUUGUAAACUGCUUUAGACAGGGAAGAGGAAGGACAGUACCUGUAGAAUAAGCUCCGGCUAACUACGUGCCAGCAGCCGCGGUAAUCUGAGCGGGCUGGCAAGGC
rnacentral:rRNA from 1 species